rnacentral:rRNA from 1 species
UCGAGCGAAGCACUUAAGUUUGAUUCUUCGGAUGAAGGCUUUUGUGACUGAGCGGCGGACGGGUGAGUAACGCGUGGGUAACCUGCCUCAUACAGGGGGAUAACAGUUAGAAAUGACUGCUAAUACCGCAUAAGACCACAGGGUCGCAUGACCCGGUGGUAAAAACUCCGGUGGUAUGAGAUGGACCCGCGUCUGAUUAGCUAGUUGGUGGGGUAACGGCUCACCAAGGCGACGAUCAGUAGCCGACCUGAGAGGGUGACCGGCCACAUUGGGACUGAGACACGGCCCAAACUCCUACGGGAGGCAGCAGUGGGGAAUAUUGCACAAUGGGCGAAAGCCUGAUGCAGCGACGCCGCGUGAAGGAUGAAGUAUUUCGGUAUGUAAACUUCUAUCAGCAGGGAAGAAAAUGACGGUACCUGACUAAGAAGCCCCGGCUAACUACGUGCCAGCAGCCGCGGUAAUACGUAGGGGGCAAGCGUUAUCCGGAUUUACUGGGUGUAAAGGGAGCGUAGACGGCAUGGCAAGUCUGAAGUGAAAGCCCGGGGCUCAACCCCGGGACUGCUUUGGAAACUGUCAGGCUAGAGUGCUGGAGAGGUAAGUGGAAUUCCUAGUGUAGCGGUGAAAUGCGUAGAUAUUAGGAGGAACACCAGUGGCGAAGGCGGCUUACUGGACAGUAACUGACGUUGAGGCUCGAAAGCGUGGGGAGCAAACAGG